CCUACGGGUGGCUGCAGUAGGGAAUAUUGCGCAAUGGAGGAAACUCUGACGCAGCGACGCCGCGUGAACGAUGAAGGCCUUCGGGUCGUAAAGUUCUGUCCUUGGGGAAGAAGGGCAUUUUCGGAUGUCUUGACGGUACCCAAGAAGAAAGCCCCGGCUAACUACGUGCCAGCAGCCGCGGUAAUACGUAGGGGGCAAGCGUUGUCCGGAAUUACUGGGCGUAAAGGGUGCGCAGGCGGCCAUUUAAGUCAGGUGUGAAAUUCCACGGCUUAACCGUGGGGUUGCAUUUGAAACUGGGUGGCUUGAGUAUCGGAGAGGGUAGUGGAAUUCCCAGUGUAGCGGUGAAAUGCGUAGAUAUUGGGAGGAACACCAGUGGCGAAGGCGACUACCUGGACGAUCACUGACGCUGAGGCACGAAAGCUAGGGGAGCAAACAGGAUUAGAUACCCCAGUAGUC
rnacentral:rRNA from 1 species